GUGGGGAAUCUUCCACAAUGGACGAAAGUCUGAUGGAGCAACGCCGCGUGAGUGAAGAAGGGUUUCGGCUCGUAAAGCUCUGUUGUCGGGGACGAAUGUGCAGUAUUUGAAUAAAGUACUGCAAUGACGGUACCUGACGAGGAAGCCACGGCUAACUACGUGCCAGCAGCCGCGGUAAUACGUAGGUGGCAAGCGUUGUCCGGAAUUAUUGGGCGUAAAGGGAGCGCAGGCGGGAAGGUAAGUCGGUCUUAAAAGUGCGGGGCUCAACCCCGUGAUGGGAUCGAAACUAUCUUUCUUGAGUGCAGGAGAGGAAAGUGGAAUUCCUAGUGUAGCGGUGAAAUGCGUAGAUAUUAGGAGGAACACCAGUGGCGAAGGCGACUUUCUGGACUGUAACUGACGCUGAGGCUCGAAAGCCAGGGGAGCGAACGGGAUUAGAAACCCCGGGUAGUCC
rnacentral:rRNA from 1 species